rnacentral:rRNA from 1 species
AACGAACGCUGGCGGCAGGCUUAAGACAUGCAAGUCGAACGAUGUAGCAAUACAUAGUGGCGCACGGGUGAGUAACGCGUGGGAAUCUGCCCAUUAGUACGGAAUAACAGUUGGAAACGACUGCUAAUACCGUAUACGCCCUUCGGGGGAAAGAUUUAUCGCUAAUGGAUGAGCCCGCGUAAGAUUAGGUAGUUGGUGGGGUAAAAGCCUACCAAGCCUACGAUCUUUAGCUGGUCUGAGAGGAUGAUCAGCCACACUGAAACUGAGACACGGUUCAGACUCCUACGGGAGGCAGCAGUCGGGAAUAUUGGACAAUGGGCGAAAGCCUGAUCCAGCCAUGCCGCGUGAGUGAUGAAGGCCUUAGGGUUGUAAAGCUCUUUUGUCAGGGAAGAUAAUGACGGUACCUGAAGAAUAAGUUCCGGCUAACUUCGUGCCAGCCGCCGCGGUAA